CACUUGGUCGUGGUGAAUAAUCCUUUUAAUGUACUUGGGUGUUGGGCAUUAAGUAGGGCACUUGAAGUAAUGAACACUGGGUGUUAUAUGCAACUGAUGGAUCACUAAAUUCUACUUCUGAAA